rnacentral:rRNA from 1 species
UACAGAGGUCUCAAGCGUUGUUCGGAAUCACUGGGCGUAAAGGGUGCGUAGGCUGCACGGUAAGUCAGAGGUGAAAUCCCGGAGCUCAACUUCGGAAUUGCCUCCGAUACUGCCGUGCUUGAGGACUGGAGAGGAGAUUGGAAUUCACAGUGGAGCAGUGAAAUGCGUAGAUAUUGUGAGGAACACUAGUGGCGAAGGCGAAUCUCUGGACAGUCCUGACGCUGAGGCACGAAGGCCAGGGGAGCAAAACGGG